rnacentral:rRNA from 1 species
UACGUAGGGAGCAAGCGUUGUCCGGAAUCAUUGGGCGUAAAGAGCGCGUAGGUGGCUUUAUAAGUCCGUUGUAAAAGUCAAAGGCUCAACCUUUGAAAGCCGAUGGAUACUGUGAAGCUAGAGUACGGAAGAGGCGAGUGGAAUUCCUGGUGUAGCGGUGGAAUGCGCAGAUAUCAGGAGGAACACCAAUAGCGAAGGCAGCUCGCUGGGACGUUACUGACACUGAGGCGCGAAAGCGUGGGGAGCGAACAGG